UCAUCAAACAAAUUAUUAAAAUCAAUCAUGAAGACAAGAUACAAAAACAAAGAGGAUUUGCCUAACUACAGUCCCAUUACAUGUACAAUGACAACUAUAGGUUGCUUAGCUACAAAUCCAGUACGAUUGACUAACCAACCAACUUUUACUGAAAGUCCAAUAUUACUAAGAUGUACCAAGUUGAAUACUUGAAGGCCAUCAAAAGAAAGAGAGAGAGAG
rnacentral:misc_RNA from 1 species